rnacentral:rRNA from 1 species
GCUACGGGAGGCAGCAGUGAGGAAUAUUGGUCAAUGGGCGCGAGCCUGAACCAGCCAAGUAGCGUGAAGGAUGACUGCCCUACGGGUUGUAAACUUCUUUUAUAAAGGAAUAAAGUGAGGCACGUGUGCCUUUUUGUAUGUACUUUAUGAAUAAGGCUCGGCUAACUCCGUGCCAGCAGCCGCGGUAAUACGGAGGAUCCGAGCGUUAUCCGGAUUUAUUGGGUUUAAAGGGAGCGUAGAUGGGUUGUUAAGUCAGUUGUGGAAGUUUGCGGCUCAACCGGAAAAUUGCAAUUGAUACUGGCAGUCUUGAGUACAGUUGAGGUAGGCGGAAUUCGGGGUGUAGCGGUGAAAUGCGUAGAUAUCACGAAGAACUGCGAUUGCGAAGGCAGCUUACUAAACUGCCACUGACAUUGAUGCUCGAAAGUGUGGGUAUCAAACAGGAUUAGAUACCCUGGUAGUG